AGCUGAUCACCAUCAUUUCCUAACCCACCUCCACACCUCAGCAGCAGUUGUCUCUGAUCCUGGAUGAGGAUGAAGGUGGCCACAAUCUCCUAAGCCACUGCUUUCCACUUAUGGGACCAAAGUGGAGGGAAGUGGAUCGAAGACUGAACCCCCGGCAAGCUGCCAUCAAAGAGAUCCAGAUUUCAUGUGUGGAGACCAAGAGGAUUCUUUGCUAUUGUGCUCGCCAAUGGAAGGGAGGAAAAAAGGAAGAAAGGAAAAAGAAAGAAGAAGAAAGAAAAUACCUUAAUUAAAACAUGAUCUGG